CCUACGGGAGGCUGCAGUGGGGAAUAUUGGACAAUGGGCGAAAGCCUGAUCCAGCCAUGCCGCGUGUGUGAAGAAGGCCUUCGGGUUGUAAAGCACUUUCAGUGGGGAAGAAAGCCUUGGGGCUAAUACCCUCGAGGAAGGACAUCACCCACAGAAGAAGCACCGGCUAACUCCGUGCCAGCAGCCGCGGUAAUACGGAGGGUGCGAGCGUUAAUCGGAAUUACUGGGCGUAAAGCGCGCGUAGGCGGUCUGAUAAGCCGGUUGUGAAAGCCCCGGGCUCAACCUGGGAACGGCAUCCGGACCUGUCAGGCUAGAGUGCAGGAGAGGAAGGUAGAAUUCCCGGUGUAGCGGUGAAAUGCGUAGAGAUCGGGAGGAAUACCAGUGGCGAAGGCGGCCUUCUGGACUGACACUGACGCUGAGGUGCGAAAGCGUGGGUAGCAAACAGGAUUAGAUACCCGAGUAGUC
rnacentral:rRNA from 1 species